UACGAAGGGGGGCUAGCGUUGCUCGGAAUCACUGGGCGUAAAGGGUGCGUAGGCGGGUCUUUUAAGUCAGGGGUGAAAUCCUGGAGCUCAACUCCAGAACUGCCCUUGAUACUGAGGAUCUUGAGUUCGGGAGAGGUGAGUGGAACUGCGAGUGUAGAGGUGAAAUUCGUAGAUAUUCGCAAGAACACCAGUGGCGAAGGCGGCUCACUGGCCCCGAUACUGACGCUGAGGCACGAAAAGCGUGGGGGAGCAAACAGGAUU
rnacentral:rRNA from 1 species